rnacentral:rRNA from 1 species
AUUGAACGCUGGCGGCAGGCUUAACACAUGCAAGUCGAGCGGAGAUGAGGUGCUUGCACCUUAUCUUAGCGGCGGACGGGUGAGUAAUGCUUAGGAAUCUGCCUAUUAGUGGGGGACAACAUUCCGAAAGGAAUGCUAAUACCGCAUACGCCCUACGGGGGAAAGCAGGGGAUCUUCGGACCUUGCGCUAAUAGAUGAGCCUAAGUCGGAAUAGCUAGUUGGUGGGGUAAAGGCCUACCAAGGCGACGAUCUGUAGCGGGUCUGAGAGGAUGAUCCGCCACACUGGGACUGAGACACGGCCCAGACUCCUACGGGAGGCAGCAGUGGGGAAUAUUGGACAAUGGGCGGAAGCCUGAUCCAGCCAUGCCGCGUGUGUGAAGAAGGCCUGUUGGUUGUAAAGCACUUUAAGCGAGGAGGAGGCUACCUGGAUUAAUACUCUAGGAUAGUGGACGUUACUCGCAGAAUAAGCACCGGCUAGCUCUGUGCCAGCCGCCGCCGUAACAC